AUAGUAAUUAAUGUAAAUGCAAGUAAAAAACUAUGGAACAAAGAAUAGAUAAGGACAUACCACAUCUAAGUUCGGAAAAUGUGUUGAUCCAUGGCCGCUAUUCGCAUCAAUAGGAGACUCUAUGCAAAGAAUUUGA